rfam:Hordeum vulgare subsp. vulgare, WGS project CAJW01000000 data, contig: morex_contig_63324
CUAAUACUUCCUCCAUCUCAAAAUUCUUGUUUUAAAUUUGUCUAGAUAUGAAUGUAUCUAGUCACGUUUUAGUAUUUACAUACAUUCAUUUCUAAACAAAUCUUAGACAAGAAUUUUGGGAUGGAGGGGGUAUAUU